UACGUAGGCAGCAAGCGUUGUUCGGAGUUACUGGGCGUAAAGGGUGCGUAGGCGGUCCUAUAAGUAUGGUGUGAAAUCUCCCGGCUUAACUGGGAGGGUGCGCUAUAGACUGUGGGACUAGAGUGCGGGAGAGGAGAGUGGAAUUCCGUGGUGAUAGCGGUGAAAUGCGUAGAUAUCAGGAGGAACACCGGUGGUGUAGACGGCUCUCUGGACCGUAACUGACGCUGAGGCACGAAAGCGUGGGUAGCAAACAGG
rnacentral:rRNA from 1 species